ACCAGGGUGACCAAGGCCAUGGUGGAUGCAGAGGGGACAGCGGACUGCUCAACCUCCAGACUGAAGAGACUGUGUUCUAUGUGGGAGGGUACCCUGACACAUUCACGCCACCUCUCCAGCUCCAGUUGCCCAACUUCAAGGGCUGUAUUGAGCUGGAGACCCUGAAUGAGGAGGUGCUCAGUCUUUAUAACUUUGAGGACAUCUUCCAUCUCAACACCACCGAGGAGAAACCAUGUGGAAGAACGAAGCCGGUGUUGACCCAGCAGUGGGUGAACGACGCAG